GGGGGACAAAGAACGAAAAAACGUGUUAGGUAGAUAGAAAUAUAAAAGGUACGUACCGAAGAAAGUUUCUUAAGACAUCUAACAUGUAUCAGCAAAGUACAUACAUACAACAUGUAUUAGCAAAAAAACAGCUAAUAUGUAUUAGCAAAAAACAGCUAAUAUGUACUAACUGGAAAAGGAUUGGCUAGUUAGAAGAAAAAAAUGUCAUGGUGGCAUCUUUAUCAAGUUUUUUUAAUACUAACCUGGCAUCUCUAUAUUUGACCCAAAAAAAAAAAAAACCUUGCAUCUCUAUCAAGUUAGACAAUCAGUAUUGGUGCAAUUCUCAAUAGAUCUCUCAGUAAUUAAAAUAAUACAUGAAAAAAAGAAGGUAAAGAAACAGAUGAGAGAGACAAGAACACGUUUCUUUAUGAAGAGAUUUUGUCCGAAAUCAUGAGAAGCGUUGGCCACUUGUCUGUUAUUUAUUGAUCUAUAUUUUUCUAAUAUUAAACUUUUUGUCAGAGAAACUUGAUAGAAUUUAAGAGAAACUUGAUAGAAUUUAUACCGCUGCGGAUGCCAUUAGAGUAUCUCCAACCUAUAAUACUAUUUUAGUGUCAAAAUCACAUUAUUUUAGUGUCAUUUCAGC
rnacentral:lncRNA from 1 species